ensembl:lncRNA
GGGGAGGCCUCGGACUUCUCGCUGGCCUGGGAUUCCUCCGUGACGGCAUCAGGAGGCCUGGAAGGAGAGCCGGAGUGUGAUCGGAAAACCAGCCGUGCGCUGGAAGACAGGAACAGCGUGACAAGUCAAGAGGAGAGAAAUGAGGACGAUGAAGACAUGGAGGAUGAGUCAAUUUACACCUGCGAUCACUGUCAGCAGGACUUCGAGUGUCUGGCAGACCUGACGGACCACCGGGCCCACCGCUGUCCUGGAGCUGACAAGCAAAAAAAAAAAAGCAGAUUCAUCAGCUCAAGAAACUGAGAAGUAAGGCUGGCUUCAAGUAUGACCCUCCACGGACAUGCUCCAAGGCUCUCUACAAACCCCAUCCCCAGAGGAGUGACUCGGAUGCUUGAAUUCUUAUCAACUUCGUGGAAGUGGGAACGGAAGCUGGCCCACCCUCCUGUCCCUGAUUCUCUGCCUCUUGGCCCUUUGGGGGCAGAGUUCUGGGAGAAGCAGGUCAUGCCCUGGUGGCAUCCCCCAGCUGCUGGGCCUCUGGGACAUUGUGUCCAGGCCUCGGGCCCAGGCUGGAGAGAGGCUGGGCAGCCAUCAGGUUGGUCUGACCUUGAGGCUUGAGUGGCUCAGGUGCCCAGGUGGUGUGGAGAGGUAGCUAUGAAAUCAGCCUGCUGUGCCGGCCUCUGAGGGACCCAGGGUCAG